rnacentral:lncRNA from 1 species
GGUAAAGGGAGAUCCUAAGAAGCCGAGAGGCAAAAAUUUCAUCAUCUGCAUUCUUUGUGCAAGCUUGUCAGGAGGAGCAUAGGAAGAAGUACCCAGCUGCUCCAGUCAACUCCUCAGAGUUUGCUCAGAAGUGCUCAGAGAGGUGGAAGACCAUAUAUGCUAACGAGAAAGGAAAAUUUGAAGACAUGGCAAAGGCAGACAAGACCUGUUAUGAAAGAGAAAUGAAAAGCCAUAUAACUUCCAAAGGGGAGAGAAAAAAGAAGUUCAAGAAUCCCAAUGCACCAAAGAGGCCUCCAUGAGCCUUUUUCUUGUUCUGUUCUGAGUAUCACCCCAAAAUCACAGGAGAACAUCCUGGCCUGUCCAUUGGUGAUGUUGCAAAGAAACUGGGAGAGAUGUGGAAUAACACUGCUGCAGAUGACAAGCAGCCUUAUGAAAAGAAGGCUGCAAAGCUAAAGGAAGAAUACAGAAAGGAUAUUGCUGCAUAUUGAGCUAAAGGAAAGCCUGAUGCAGCAAAAAAGGGAGUCGUCAAGCUGAAAAAGUGAGAAAAAGAAGGAAGAUGAAAAGGACAAGGAGGAAGAAGUUGAAGUGAAUAUGAAGAAGAUGACGAUGGUGAAUAAGUUGGUUCUAG